GAGCCACUCGCAAUGUAAAAUGUUGUUUUUUUCCCUCAUAUUUAUGAGAACAACAGCACGUUCCUUCUGCGUGGGGCUGAAGGUCACGCCGGGGUCACGGUGGGGCUAGCUAACGUCAGCUAACGGCCAUCAUGCAGGGUGACACGACACGAGCACGAGACGAGCUCGAGGGCCCCACGAAACGACGACAUGGAGCAAAUAUUAAACACGUGCACCCACCCACGUGUGGCGCGUGAAAAACAAGAAUUGUUUACUAACUUUUGACGAGGACUCUGCGAAACUCUGACGUCAUCGACCCGACAGGAACCCGCUGCUGCUGCUGCUGCAUCCAGACGACACGCUUCUAAAAGACGAAUUCAUUCUCGACGCGACAAUGGUUUCCUAUGGAGACGAAGGGAUGGCGAUUGGACGAGCGAGGGUUAAAAGCGAGCGCUGCAGGAGGAGAGAGAGAGUCACUGGAGGACUUGCUAAUUAGGCAGCGGCAACACGAGCCUCAUCUGCAUGCGGGGUAUGCAAAUUGACCGGCUGGCUCUUUCUUUUUGUCCCGGAUCAGAAGGCGAGAGCUGCAGAGAAGAAUUAAGAGCCAUUAUUCUACCCAAGGAGAGGCUGAUGUAUGCAGAAGAGGGGGAUGAGGAUGAGAGGAAAGAACACUUUUACCACAGAGAUGUACAAUGGACUCCACUGGAAAGGAGAGUCAAAUACAAUCACACAAACGCACUCUUAUUCUCUCGCACAGCCUGGAAGAUCCUUCUACAUUUGAGGUGGAAAUUGCGAAAGAGAAAACGGCAAUCACGCACCUUUAUUUGCCGUUAUGCCUAUCUCCACAUAUCGAUAGGCUGCUUUGUGGAUGAUAAUUACCUUUUGGAAUAUCGAAUCCCGAAAACGAGCCACGGAAACGAAGGAACAAGAAGAAAGGACAGAAAAAAGAGCGGAGGUAUGCAAAGGCGCUAAUGAUAUUCACAGCGCCGCGUGUGUCAUCUGCAUGAUGACAACGGCCAAUUAUAAUGAACCAUUGGCUCUCUGACAUAGAUAAGUAGGAGAGAAAAGGAUAUGGGUGAAAAGGAGCGCGAAAAAAAAAAAAAAACUUCUGCGAUCCUUCUUAAUUUGCCGCUGAUAUUUUCAGAUUUCGUGUCGUGUGGAUUUACAGUGACGAUACAUCUUGAAAAAAAAAAGACAACCUCUCCUCGCACUGUCCCAUAAAUGGAAUAAAAAGGCCACAGAAGAUGAGGGCGUCCCUCCACGCAGGAUUUAUGGCUGCUCGUGGUGGUAUUCCAUCGCCAUGUUGUUGGUCAACGGGACUGGUUCUGAUGGCACCUGUUCCCGUGCCAACCAUCGCUCUGACGAGCCAAAGAAUCUGUUGGAAAUCACACCCACUAGGACGAGCGUACACACACACACACACACACACACACGGCGGCAUCUUUCUGUCGACUCCCCUUCCUCAUCACACUACAAAAUGCCUCCCCAUCACCGUUUUGCAUAUUCGCAUGGCGCCCCGCCUGCCACAAAGGACUAAACAGCCGUAUGCAAAACAGUCUGGUAUCCCCACUUACAUAGCGAUGAGACGAACAGCGUGAG
ensembl:lncRNA